ensembl:snoRNA SNORD31 Small nucleolar RNA SNORD31
GUGAUUUACUGAGUUACUGCACCAGUCUGAUUCAUCUGACUGAAUGGUAAACUCUGAUCUCAG